rnacentral:misc_RNA from 1 species
ACACCUCAACUCUCGUGGUUUGCCAUGAUGAGCUUGGACUUUGGGGGACUUGCUGGCCUGCGGUCAGCUCCCCUCAAACAGAUCAGCUUUCCAGUGUUUGGUGGAGUCACAGGUGUGAUAAAUAUCUACGCAUGUGGUUUUCUGCCAGGUAACCUUCAGCGAUGGGGGUUUGCUGGGGCUCAUAAACGUCUCUCCUCAGUGAAGACAGCUUUGUGAAC